CCCUUAGAUGUUCUGGGCCGCACGCGUGCUACACUGAGUGGAUCAGCGGGUCAGGUUGCGCGAAAGCGUUUCCUAAUCUUUAAAUCCGCUCGUGAUGGGGAUUGACGGUUGCAAUUUUCUGUCAUGAACGAGGAAUACCUUGUAAGCGCGGGUCAUCAUCCCGCGCUGAAUACGUCCCUGCCCUUUGUACACACCACCCGUCGCUCCUACCGAUUGAGUGGUCCGGUGAGGCUUUGGGAUCUGAGCGGAAAGAGCGUUUCGCUGUUUCUGCUCGGAAAACUCAGUCGAACCUUAUCAUUUAGAGGAAGGAGAAGUCGUAACA
rnacentral:rRNA from 1 species